rnacentral:rRNA from 1 species
CUCCGGUUGAUCCUGCCGGACUUGACUGCUAUCGGAUUGGUACUAAGCCAUGCGAGUCGUUGUAGCAAUACAAGGCGGACGGCUCAGUAACACGUAGUCAACCUAACCUAUGGACGUGGAUAACCUCGGGAAACUGAGAAUAAACCGCGAUAGAUCAUUAUGCCUGGAAUGGCUUAUGGUUCAAACAAUUUAUUGCCGUAGGAUGGGACUGCGGCCUAUCAGCUUGUUGGUGAGGUAAUGGCCCACCAAGGCUAUAACAGGUACGGGCUCUGAGAGGAGAAGCCCGGAGAUGGGUACUGAGACACGGACCCAGGCCCUAUGGGGCGCAGCAGGCGAGAAACCUUAGCAAUGUGCGAAAGCACGACUAGGUUAAUCCGAGUGAUUUCUGUUGAAGAAAUCUUUUGUCAGUCGUAAAACCACAGACGAAUAAGGGGUGGGCAAGUCUGGUGUCAGCCGCCGCGGUAAUACCAGCACCUCGAGUGGUCAGGAGGUUUAUUGGGCCUAAAGCAUCCGUAGCCGGCUACGCAAGUCUCCGGUUAAAUCCAGCUGCUCAACAGAUGGGCUGCCGGAGAUACUACAUAGCUAGGGAGCGGGAGAGGUAGACGGUAUUCUGUGGGUAGGGGUAAAAUCCACUGAUCCAUAGAGGACCACCAGUGGCGAAGGCGGUCUACCAGAACGCGUUCGACGGUGAGGGAUGAAAGCUGGGGGAGCAAACCGGAUUAGAUACCCGGGUAGUCCCAGCUGUAAACGAUGCAAACUCGGUGAUGCAUUGGCUUAUGGCCAAUGCAGUGCCGUAGGGAAGCCGUUAAGUUUGCCGCCUGGGAAGUACGGACGCAAGUCUGAAACUUAAAGGGAAUUGCCGGGGGAGCA